UAGCAACAGCCAACAGUACACGAAAGAGAGAAACACCAAAGAGAAAGAGAGAACAGAAGAGUCAGGAGGGAAAAAUAGGAGGGAAACAAAUCGUAAAAUACAUUUGUGUCCCUUAGUUUUUAUCUUUUCAAAAAUAAAAAAAAUGGAUUUUUUGUCCAAAUGAAAAAGUGCUACUUGUUAAAAUAGACCUUCAUAACUGUACCCAAAAAAAAUAGACCUUCAUAAAAAUGAGUGGGUCUAUUGUAGCAAAUCCCUUUAAUUUUGUGGUCUUAUUUUCGUUAAUUUUAUUUUGAAGUUUUGACAUUUCAAAAAAAUAUAUUUAAUUCAUUCCAUACAUCUGAAAAAAAAUUCUAAAUUUUAGUAAAUAAAUUUUUUAUGAUAUUUUAAGCAUGUCUACAAAAACUCAUUCAAAAUAUUUAAGAGUUUAAGAUUAAUUANNNNNNNNNNNNNNNNUUAAGAUUAAUUAAACUAAUUUUAUUUUUCAGCAUUAAUCCUUUGAUAUUCAAGAAAAAAAUAACCUUGAUAAUUCAAAUUUAAGCUGCUACCCAUAACUAAUUUGAUUUUGGUACAGACUAAAAUU
rnacentral:lncRNA from 1 species